rnacentral:tRNA from 1 species
GUUCCCGUAGUUCAACGGAUAGAAUGUUGGCCUCCGAAGCCGAUGAUUUGGGUUCGAAUCCCAACGGGAACG